UACGGGGGGAGCAAGCGUUGUUCGGAUUUACUGGGCGUAAAGGGCGCGUAGGCGGCCACCGCAAGUCAGUUGUGAAAUCUCUGGGCUUAACCCAGAACGGUCAGCUGAUACUGCGGGGCUAGAGUGCAGAAGGGGCAACUGGAAUUCUCGGUGUAGCGGUGAAAUGCGUAGAUAUCGAGAGGAACACCUGCGGCGAAGGCGGGUUGCUGGGCCGACACUGACGCUGAGGCGCGAAAAGCUAGGGGAGCGAACGGGG
rnacentral:rRNA from 1 species